rfam:Christensenella minuta strain DSM 22607 genomic scaffold Scaffold108, whole genome shotgun sequence.
CGCGGGGUAGAGCAGUUUGGUAGCUCGUCGGGCUCAUAACCCGGAGGUCGCAGGUUCAAAUCCUGUCCCCGCAA